rnacentral:rRNA from 1 species
GACGAACGCUGGCGGCGUGCCUAAUACAUGCAAGUAGAACGCACAGUUUAUACCGUAGCUUGCUACACCAUAGACUGUGAGUUGCGAACGGGUGAGUAACGCGUAGGUAACCUGCCUGGUAGCGGGGGAUAACUAUUGGAAACGAUAGCUAAUACCGCAUAAUAUUAAUUAUUGCAUGAUAAUUAAUUGAAAGGUGCAAUUGCACCACUACCAGAUGGACCUGCGUUGUAUUAGCUAGUAGGUGAGGUAACGGCUCACCUAGGCGACGAUACAUAGCCGACCUGAGAGGGUGAUCGGCCACACUGGGACUGAGACACGGCCCAGACUCCUACGGGAGGCAGCAGUUGGGAAUCUUCGGCAAUGGACGAAAGUCUGACCGAGCAACGCCGCGUGAGUGAAGAAGGUUUUCGGAUCGUAAAGCUCUGUUGUAAGAGAAGAACGGGUGUGAGAGUGGAAAGUUCACACUGUGACGGUAUCUUACCAGAAAGGGACGGCUAACUACGUG